UACGUAGGGUGCAAGCGUUGUCCGGAAUUAUUGGGCGUAAAGAGCUCGUAGGCGGUCUGUCGCGUCGGCUGUGAAAUCCCGAGGCUCAACCUCGGGUCUGCAGUCGAUACGGGCAAACUAGAGUAUUGCAGGGGAGACUGGAAUUCCUGGUGAGCGGUGAAAUGCGCAGAUAUCAGGAGGAACACCGGUGGCGAAGGCGGCUUGCUGGGCCUUACCUGACGCUGAGGCGCGAAAGCUAGGGGAGCAAACGGG
rnacentral:rRNA from 1 species